rnacentral:rRNA from 1 species
AUCUACAGCUAAGGUCCCAAAGCAGGUUUAAGUGGAAAAGGAUGUGGAGUUGCAUAAACAGCCAGGAUGUUGGCUUAGAAGCAGCCACUCAUUCAAAGAGUGCGUAAUAGCUCACUGGUCGAGUGGCUCUGCGCCGAAAAUUCAACGGGGCUAAAACCUGCACCGAAGCUUAGGCAUCCGCAAGGAUGGGUAGGGGAGCGUUGUGUAUGCGGUGAAGCGUUAGCGUAAGCGGGCGUGAAGCGUACACAAGUGAGAAUGCCGGAAUGAGUAGCGCGAAUGAUGUGAGAAUCAUCAUGGCCGAAAGCCUCAGGUUUUUGGAGGAAGGUUCGUCCGCUCCAAGUUAGCCGGGAGCUAAGGUGAGGCCGAAAGGCGUAGCCGAUGCACAUACGGUAGAGAUUCCGUAGCCGCCGAAAGAUUUAAGCAGGGGGACACUUUUGAAGUGUUGGAGCCGGGUGUUGGUUUACCCGGUGGUAACCGAGUGAAAUUUAGUAGCGAAGUCCAGCAUGGAGAGAGGCGAGAAAAGCCCUGUGUAUAUCUAAGGCGCCCGUACCGCAAACCGACACAGGUAGGUAGGAAGAAGAUUCUAAGGCCAACGGGAGAAGGGUUGUUAAGGAACUCGGCAAGUUGACCCCGUAACUUCGGGAGAAGGGGUGCUCACGAGAGUGAGCCGCAGAGAAUCGGCCCAAGCAACUGUUUAGCAAAAACACAGGUCUGUGCUAAAUCGAAAGAUGACGUAUACGGGCUGACGCCUGCCCGGUGCUGGAAGGUUAAGGGGACAUGUGCAAGCAUCGAACCGAAGCCCCAGUAAACGGCGGCCGUAACUAUAACGGUCCUAAGGUAGCGAAAUUCCUUGUCAGGUAAGUUCUGACCCGCACGAAUGGCGUAAUGAUUUGGGCACUGUCUCAACAGCCCGCCCGGCGAAAUUGUAGUACCGGUGAAGAUGCCGGUUUCCCGCGACAAGACGGAAAGACCCCAUGGAGCUUUACUGCAGCCUAAUAUUGGGUUUCGAUAUUACAUGUACAGGAUAUGUGGGAGACAUGGAAGCACGGGCGUCAGCCUGUGUGGAGUCAGCCUUGGGAUACCACACUUGUGAUAUUGGAAUUCUAACCUGCGGCCCUGAAUCGGGUCGGGGGACAUUGUUAGGCGGGCAGUUUGACUGGGGCGGUCGCCUCCGAAAAAGUAACGGAGGCGUUCAAAGGUUGGCUCAGCUUGGACGGAAACCAAGCCAAAGAGUGCAAACGCAUAAGCCAGCCUAACUGCGAGACUGACGGGUCGAGCAGUAACGAAAGUUGGAGUUAGUGAUCCGGCGGUAUGUGAGUGGAAAUGCCGUCGCUCAACGGAUAAAAGCUACCCUGGGGAUAACAGGCUGAUCUCCCCCAAGAGUUCACAUCGACGGGGAGGUUUGGCACCUCGAUGUCGGCUCAUCGCAUCCUGGAGCUGAAGUCGGUUCCAAGGGUUGGGCUGUUCGCCCAUUAAAGCGGUACGCGAGCUGGGUUCAGAACGUCGUGAGACAGUUCGGUCCCUAUCUGUCGUGGGCGCAGGAUAUUUGAUGGGAUCUGUCCCUAGUACGAGAGGACCGGGAUGGACGCACCUCUGGUGCACCAGUUGUCACGCCAGUGGCACAGCUGGGCAGCUAUGUGCGGAUCGGAUAAACGCUGAAAGCAUCUAAGCGUGAAGCCGGCCUGGAGAUAAGAUAUCCCACUGAGAUAAUCAGGUAAGACCCCUUGA